AAGGUUAUAUGAUCAAGUAAAGGAAGAGCACAAGGCGGAUGCCUUGGCAGCAUAAGGCGAUGAAGGACGUGGUAACCUGCGAUAAGCCUCGGGAAGUUGUAAACAAAUUUUGAUCCGAGGAUUU
rnacentral:rRNA from 1 species